AACCUGGGUUAGUACCAGAUCUGGAGGUUGGUGGCCAUGCCUGUAGCACAGGGGUCGAACAUGAUCCUUGGUGCUCCUUCCAACCCAAGCCAUUCUGUGAUUCUAAAUAGGGCAGCCACAUAGAACACUGGCAAGAAGUAUCGGGAUUAUGCAGAAGGGAAAUAACAACUUGGGAAGAGGAAGAUCAAGACCAAUAUAAGCUGUAAAUGGAGAUAACACUUUGUUUCAGGACUUCUUUCUGUGCGCCCAUCUGCAAGCUUCUAACUUUCAUCAAUGUGUGUUUAAUGUAGGUGAAACUAAAAUGUACACCUGGAAAAUAUCAGCAAGAUCUAGUUCUGAGAGAGGUGAUCCACACUGUACUGCAUGGGCAUACCAUUCAACAGUGGACAUCAUUAAGGACACUUACAGUGGAUUAAUAGGCACACUUGUUGUGUGUCCUAAACAUUAUUUACCAUCGUCUCAUUCUAGAAAGAAAGUUCAUUUUGCUCUUCUGUUUAUGAUUUUUGAUGAAAGUGAGUCAUGACUAGGAUUUGGAUGAAAACAUUGCAACCUAUUCUGCCAACCCACACCUUGUUAGCAAAGAAAAUGAGGAAUUCCUUGAAAGUAACAAAAUGCAUGCCAUUAAUGGAAAAGUGUUUGGAAAUUUACAUGGUCUGACUAUGCAUGUUGGAGAUGAAGUAAGCUGGUAUUUGAUGGCAAUGGGCAACGAAAUAGAUAUUCACACAGCACACUUCCAUGGCCACAGCUUUGACUAUAAGCAAACAGGAGUUUACCGGGCAGAUGUCUUCGAUGUGUUCCCAGGAACAUUUCAAACAGUGGAAAUGAUCCCACAGAACCCUGGAAGGUGGUUACUGCACUGUCACGUUACUGACCACAUCCAUGCAGGCAUGGAAGCAACUUAUACAGUGCUCCCAAAGGAAGG